AUAAAUAAAUUAGUGGGCUAAAUGCUUGGUCCCAGCCUGCAAGGCUAUCAGAAAGGAAUUCCUAGGUAUUUAAUUCUAACUAUACAGAGGUAAUGGAAGUGGAAGGUAAUACCUAAACAAUUUGAAUUUUACUAAAAUUUUUAACUCAAAGAUAGUUAAUCUCCGGAGAUAAAAGUUCCCAUUUUCAAAGGUGUCAAUCAUUUUUAAAAACUCAGAAAUCAUGCGAAUCAGAGUUACGAUGGGUUGUUAGGCAACAGGAGGCAGAUUACUAUCUGUGGCUGUCUUUAAACUAUGGGAACCUUCUAGUGUCAGUAAUUUCAUAUAAAUUAUUUUUAGCCACUUAAUAGAUCAAAUAUCAGAGGAAUGAAAAAAGUAGCUGGACAGAAAUCUACUUGCUUGCACCCAAACUGGCUUCACCAAAGCCACAAGGAGGUCUAUCUCUAUUCCUCUCUAGCACCUGGCCAGUGAGCAACCCCGCUAAGUACAUGGCCAGGGAAUAGGAAAAGUUAAGGCAGCCCAGCACUUUCUACUGGAAAAAAAAAAAAUGACAAAGCAACUUUAAUGAAAACAGGUUUUUAUAAAAUUAUCCAAAAUUUACCACAACUACUUUCACUUCUGCAUAUUAGUCUACAGUGGAUAAUAAGUUCUUAGGUUUGAAAGGGAUCUUCGAGAUCUCCUUGUCCAACUUCAUUUUAUUGAAACAGAAAUGAAAACCUCAAGCUUAGAAGGGACUGGCUCAGGAUCACAGUAAUUGUGACAGAUCUAUGACUAAGGCAGAGGUCUUCCAACGCCUAGUGCAGUACUCUUUCCACUACAUCACCCCAUUCCUUGCUGGAAUCCUGCUUUGUCUUACACAACAGACAGGCAGAACCCCAAUUCUGCAAGGCAAACUACCUACAUUCCAAGAACUUACUGGACUAUGAAGGAGCAAAGGAGUAUGACAGCCACCAAAAAGAAAACCAGAAGGAACCCCAAGUCCACCCUCCUCACGUCCACUGGUCAACCUAAUUACCAAUAAAUUUCCAUGUCCUUCCUCCUUUCUUACUUUACCAACUGAAGAGUCAUUGUGGUAUGUGGGAAGAGAUGGAGCAGAAGAGGUGGCAGAAGUUACCUACCCCCCCUGCUCAGAAACUUUCUUCUUUUUCUACCUUUUAUGGAUUCUCAAGUGUGCCCCCUCCCCCUUCUUGGGGACUCCAGAACUUAGCCCUCAGUAUAUAGUUCAGGGCUUUCUAUGUCAUCUUAAGAAUGGUUAAAAAUACUAAUGAAAUAAACAGCACAUGGAUUAUGCACAAUAAUUUGUCUCUUUAGAUUUUUGCUUGCUAUAUAACAUAUGAUUACACAGAAACAAAAUCCCACCUCAUGCUAUUUCCAGGCUGUGACAUCUGGAACUAAAUUAACUCUGCCAAGCUCUGGGGAUCUCAGAGAAACCAAGGAAGAGCAGGUACUGACUCAGGGAGAAAACCCCCCAGGAGCAGACUUGUGUCUCUUCACCUGCUCCAGCUGCCCCUGUGCUUUCCUUCAUUGUCGUCCUAUCAAGCAAGACUGUUAAACUCUUAAGGAAUCGCUUUCUGCUCUACCAAUAAAAGCAAAUUACAAAAUCAUCUUUUUUUUUUCCUUUUUGAAGACUCUGCCUUUUUACUGUUGGAUCCAGACACCGUUAAGUAUUUGAAUUUAAGCCAAAAUUCUUGCAAAAACCAGAUGUUCUUUACAGAAGCUUGUGUUUACUACAGAGUCUGGUACCACAUCUGAAGACACCCUUCCCACUGAACAAUCUACCAGGGCUGGUGACUGCAGCUUUCACCGGGAAGUCUUCACGAUGGCCCGUAACAGGAAGAUGCUGACCUGGCUGGGUAACUGCACAGCUGUGCCUCAGCAUGGCGUCACAGCCAUAAGAAAUGCAAGUCCAACAUCGGCUUCCUCCUCAAUAGCGUUUUAAAUGCAUGUUGAAGUCUUUGGAGCAAGCAUCAGCACACAGCAAACAUCCUCAAGGUUUCCUCCACUUGUCUCUCCUCCCCAAGACACAUGCAUCUGGGCAGGUGUUCCCUUAAAACUGUUUUCCUCCCCAAAACAGUCUGGGCUUCCCUCCCACUUCCUGCUGUCCCACCUGCUGGAACUCAGCUGCAGCUCGACGCUCCACACGGCCUGGCUCAUGUCUUCCCAAGUCUUCUCUUCACUGUCCCACAAAUCCCAAGCAGCAGGGGCUCAACAGGGAAACACAGAAUCCUCCUUAAAGGGGAUCCCCUGAGAGGUGAACACUUACACACCAAUGUUUUUCUUUUCAGACUCAUACUAGUGCAUUGUAAAUGGUAUUGUAACAAGUUGCCCCAUGACAGAGGGGCAGAGUUCCAGUUCUGUGGCCCUGUUUCGCAUGGGCAGGCAUGAGCUGGGGUGUGUACAAGCAGGGCUCUCUGGGAAGCUUGGGGCAGCCCUACCAGGAAGGCAGUAGCAGUAAGUAUGUCUCUGACUCCAUCGUCAUUGCCACUGUUGUCCUCCGAGGUCCCACAAGCUGGAACCCCUUCCUCAAACCAACCAGCAGUCCCCAAAGAACACCUAGGACCUUGAAGAGCAGCUUGCAAACUACAGGCUGGGUGAUUUCUAUCUACGGUGCUAUACCCCUGUUCCGUUCUUACCCAUGACAUUGCUUUUAUAAGAAAUGACCAUUUCUUUGCAAAAUAUCUUCUAAUGCAUUACAAUCAAUUAGUCUUUUCUUCCCCUGUCUCUCAAGAGGAGAAGAAAAACCAUCAGCAUAUCCAGCCUACAAACCUCUGAGCUGGUUCAGCUGAAACCCAGUUCUCUGGGCAAUCUUUUUGCAUUUGUCAGAAAACUACUCCCUUCCAAUCACUGUCAGAAGUUGAUUUGUCACAGACCAUCAAAGCUCAUGCAAAGAUGGAAAAAAUCAUGCAUAGCUAAAGGAUUUGUUUGAGGCCCACAGUUAAUUAUAAUUGCACCAGGGGCCAGAAAGUCGGGCUCACCUGUCACUGUUCACUGCUCAGGACAAAAGGAGUUCAACAGGAAUAGAAGACCCAUUAACUCCACAGGGGGCCUGGAAAACAUCGGAAAAGUACAGGCCCUGAGGAAUGGCAGAUCUAAGUGCCGGGGCAUAUGUGAGGUGCACGCUCAGGUUGCACUUGGCCUUGACAAUACUCACAGGCAGACUUUCUGCACUAAGGUGCAGCACCCAGAAGACUCGUGUCUGCCAGGUGGCUCCAGCCAUUAGCAUGAUACCUGCAGAGAGACGAGAGGAGGAGAGGGAAGGGAAAGGGAGCCCCAAACCUCAGAUGGAAAGACAGCCCAACCUCUUUAUACCAUCUCCCCAUAUGGUAGCCACCGCCGGAAUCAAAGUGUGUGCAGUAAAGACUUAAACGUCUGCUCAGUAACUGCUGACUCAACUCAGAGCCUGGGGAAGACAGGACCCAUAGUAUAGUUUGUAUUUUUAACUAUUUUUAAAAAUUCUUUGGCUUUUUCCCAUAUUAAGUACAUUUAUCUACCUGUGACCCUAGUUUAAAAAAUGAAAGUCUAACCAGUAUUGUCAGCACCUGUGUCAAUGGAAAACAAAUCUCUCAAAAUUAUAUUCAAGUUUCCCCUAAAAGCAUUAUGAUAGCUUUAUUACUAUCAUAUAGACACAUAAUCAAAAGAAAAAGAUCUACUGUGCAACACUGAAUGUGAUUCCCUCUUUUUAUUCCUCCGACCUUAUCCCAAAAUACUUCCCCAGCAAUUUUAACUAUUUUGUUUCUCAAACCCAAACAAUCCACGAGCAUAGAUUUCUUCCCAGGAUCAAGGCUAAGGCUGGAAGUAAGCUAGCACCUUGGGUGGGCUGAACGCCAAAACCAGGGAGAGAGGAUUGCUGCAGAGUGGAAAGUUGCAAAAUUAUUACUGCAAAGCAUACACGGCAGAGUCAAUAAGAAACUCAAGUGACUUUGAGUGAAACAUGGCAGAUUGGAUAUACAUGCUCUGACUUCAGAAAUGUUGAUUUCCCCAGGCUGCAGUCAUUUCCUCGCCAGCCUUCUCUUGGUUCUUGUGGGUUUAUGCCUUUGUUCCAAAAGGAGUGAACCUCACAUUGGUGGGUUUGAAGAGUAAACAAAGAUAAGUGGGCAUGUGUUCCUACUCCAGACAAGAGACAGCUGAAAUCUACGCGGGAGCAAGGAGCAGCGAAUCAGUUCGCCACGCAGACCUCCAAAGGGCUUGAGGAUAUGAAAGGUGAGGGCUAGAAGCAGCCUCAGAAGUUCUGCUUUAAUUAGCCUGGGCUAGGGCUCAGGCAUCAGUACUUUCUGAAAUCCCCACAGUGAUUUUAAAUUAUAGCCACUGCUGACAACCAUCAUCUUGAAAAGGCAAAGAGUUAAAACAGCUAAGGACAGGACUCAGGAGAAAAGCACUGAAUCUCAUGUUGGACUCUGUUCCUUUUUUUUUGGCAAUAGGGUCUUGCUCUG